rnacentral:rRNA from 1 species
CGUAGGGUCCGAGCGUUGUCCGGAUUUAUUGGGCGUAAAGGGCUCGUAGGCGGUUCGGUAAGUCAGAUGUGAAAACUCAGGGCUCAACCCGGAGACGCCAUCUGAUACUGCCGUGACUGGAGUCUGGUAGGGGAACACGGAAUUCCUGGUGUAGCGGUGAAAUGCGCAGAUAUCAGGAGGAACACCGAUGGCGAAGGCAGUGUUCUGGGCCAGUACUGACGCUGAGGAGCGAAAGCGUGGGGAGCAAACAGGAUUAGAUACCCUGGUAGUCCACGCCGUAAACGUUGGGCACUAGGUGUGGGUCCUCAUCAACGGGAUCCGUGCCGUAGCUAACGCAUUAAGUGCCCCGCCUGGGGAGUACGGCCGCAAGGCUA